AAUUAACCAACUAAAACUAGAUAUGUAGUUGUUAAAGUUCAUGACUCUUGGGCAGCAUUCAAGGAGUAUUUCAGAAGACAUGUAAUUGAUGUUAAAGGAUGCAGUUCAUUCUCUCAGCAACUUUAUAUUUCUUUGAUCUGUUCAUGCAGGGUGGGGAAAAACGGUUGUUGGCAUUUACAAAGAGAGGAAUGACAGUUCAUUUGUUACAAUGCAAGCCCAAAAAGCUCUGCCUGAUAUGCAAUGCAAAGACAGGUUCCUCUUUCAAAGUGUUAUUACAAGUCAUGGUGUAACCACAAAGGACCAUGUGUUUUCUCCAGGAGUAGAGCACAUCAUGGAGGAUUUUUAUUAUUAUUAUUAUUGUAUUCAUGCAAUUAUAAACUUCAUUGUUGUAAAUAUAUAUGAUUUUUAUUAUAAAGUUGUAAGCAAUUUGUUCAAUAUUAUUUUUUAAUUGUAUAUAAUAUUCUUUGGUUUUUAAAUAUAAAAA